rnacentral:rRNA from 1 species
CUUUACUGUAACCUGGAAUUGGGUUCGGGCUUUGCUUGCGCAGGAUAGGUGGGAGGCGUUGAGAUAUUCCUUGUGGGGAAUGUGGAGCCAACGGUGAGAUACCACUCUGGUGAGGCUAGAAUUCUAACCUUCACCCGUAAUCCGGGGAAGGAACCGUAUCAGGUGGGCAGUUUGACUGGGGCGGUCGCCUCCUAAAAGGUAACGGAGGCGCGCAAAGGUGUUCUCAGGCUGGUUGGAAAUCAGCCGUAGAGUGUAAAGGCAUAAGAGAGCUUGACUGCGAGACAAACACGUCGAGCAGGGUGGAAACACGGCCUUAGUGAUCCGACGGCGCUGCGUGGAAAGGCCGUCGCUAAACGGAUAAAAGUUA